UACGUAGGGUGCGAGCGUUGUCCGGAAUUAUUGGGCGUAAAGAGCUUGUAGGCGGUCUGUCGCGUCUGCUGUGAAAAUCCGGGGCUCAACCCCGGACUUGCAGUGGGUACGGGCAGACUAGAGUGUGGUAGGGGAGACUGGAAUUCCUGGUGUAGCGGUGAAAUGCGCAGAUAUCAGGAGGAACACCGAUGGCGAAGGCAGGUCUCUGGGCCACUCCUGACGCUGAGACGCGAAAGCUAGGGGAGCGAACAGG
rnacentral:rRNA from 1 species